rfam:Vigna angularis cultivar Jingnong 6 scaffold180_8, whole genome shotgun sequence.
GGCAAAGAUGAAGAGUGCUUGAUUAUUCUGACACCUCUUGUAUGAGACGGAUCUUUGCUAAAGGUUUCGUCUUUGAGCACAGAAAGCAACUCUCUGAGUC